GACGAAAGAUUUUGACACAUUUCCAAACGCAGGCAAAUAGACAAAUAUCAAUUCCAAAAGAACAUCACAGAUGGAUUUUGGGCAAGAAAGGUGACAGAU
rnacentral:lncRNA from 1 species